rnacentral:rRNA from 1 species
AUUCAAUAAGCGGAGGAAAAGAAACUAACCAGGAUUCCCCUAGUAACGGCGAGUGAACAGGGAUUAGCCCAGCACCGAAGCCGGCGUCCGUUUGGGCGUUGGGCAAUGUGGUGUUUAGGUUUUCGCGUUGGGGUGUUGCUCCGUUCCAAGUCCAAUCAUGAAUAUGGCUUUAGCAUGGCCCAGAGAGGGUGAAAGGCCCGUGUGGACGGAGUGGCGCUCUACUGCGUUGACUUUGGAGUCGGGUUGUUUGAGAAUGCAGCCCAAAGUUGGUGGUAAACUCCAUCUAAGGCUAAAUACUGGCACGAGUCCGAUAGCGAACAAGUACCGUGAGGGAAAGUUGAAAAGUACUCUGAAGAGAGAGUUAACAGUGCGUGAAACCGCUUAGAGGCAAACGGGUGUAGUCAAGCUGCAAGCUUAUUUGAAAUAGGGGGGCGAGAAUGACGUGAGUCUGAGCACAUAGAACGGGCAUUGGGGUGCGUCCGUAUGGGCGUGUUCGUUUCCUUAGGGAAAUGGAUCUGUGAAGUGGCAUUCGCCGCUGCAGGCCUCGGUGUCAGGUGUUCUGCUCGCCCUCUCACUUUCUUUAAGCGUAUGUCACGACCGUCGUUGCUGUCGGUCUGCUUCGUCUAAACUGUACUAUGAGUAGUCUUGUGCUUCUCGUUGUAUGGGGGCAGGUAGCUGUGAAGUGGCCUUCGGGUCGUCUUGCAGUGUUAUUGCUGGGCGAAGUGGUACCUGUAACUGUGCAGUGCGGCGGGGCUGGCGGUGCAUUGGUUUCCGGGCGUGCUAAAACAUGUUGGCGUGACGUGGGUCUGGCUGCUUGUUGCUGUCUCUGAUAGCCUUGUGGCGGCUCUGUUGCGGUUUAGCGUGUGGCUGCGUCUGGGCAUUCUUUGCGUUGUGCCGAUAGUCUGUGGCGUACUGCUAGACGAUCCCUCACCCCCCCCUGAGAUA